rnacentral:rRNA from 1 species
GAGGACCGGAGUGGACGAACCUCUGGUGUUCGGGUUGUGUCGCCAGACGCAUUGCCCGGUAGCUAAGUUCGGAAUCGAUAAGCGCUGAAAGCAUCUAAGCGCGAAGCGAGCCCUGAGAUGAGUCAUCCCUGAUACUUUAAGUAUCCUGAAGGGUUGUUGGAGACUACGACGUAGAUAGGCAGGGUGUGUAAGCGCUGUGAGGCGUUGAGCUAACCUGUACUAAUUGCCCGUGAGGCUUAACCAUACAACACCCAAGGGGUUUUUANGGAAUCGAUAACCGCUGAAAGCAUCUAAGCGGGAAGCGAGCCCUGAGAUGAGUCAUCCCUGAUACUUUAAGUAUCCUGAAGGGUUGUUGGAGACUACGACGUAGAUAGGCAGGGUGUGUAAGCGCUGUGAGGCGUUGAGCUAACCUGUACUAAUUGCCCGUGAGGCUUAACCAUACAACACCCAAGGGGUUU